rnacentral:rRNA from 1 species
UACGUAGGUGGCAAGCGUUGUCCGGAAUUAUUGGGCGUAAAGAGCUCGUAGGCGGUCUGUCGCGUCUGCUGUGAAAACUCAGGGCUUAACCCUGAGCUUGCAGUGGGUACGGGCAGACUAGAGUGCGGUAGGGGAGACUGGAAUUCCUGGUGUAGCGGUGAAAUGCGCAGAUAUCAGGAGGAACACCGGUGGCGAAGGCGGGUCUCUGGGCCGUAACUGACGCUGAGGAGCGAAAGCAUGGGGAGCGAACAGG